rnacentral:rRNA from 1 species
GAUGAACGCUGGCGGUAUGCUUAACACAUGCAAGUCGAACGGUCACUUCGGUGAUAGUGGCGGACGGGUGAGUAACGCGUGAGAAUCUGUCUUCAGGUCGGGGACAACAGUUAGAAAUGACUGCUAAUACCGGAUGUGCCUUUGGGUGAAAGAUUUAUUGCCUGAAAAAGAGCUCGCGUCAGAUUAGCUAGUAGGUGGUGUAAGAGACUACCUAGGCUCCGAUCUGUAGCUGGUCUGAGAGGACGAUCAGCCACACUGGAACUGAGACACGGUCCAGACUCCUACGGGAGGCAGCAGUGGGGAAUUUUCCGCAAUGGGCGAAAGCCUGACGGAGCAAUACCGCGUGAGGGACGAAGGCUUUUGGGUCGUAAACCUCUUUUCUCGAGGAAGAUGAUGACGGUACUUGAGGAAUAAGCAUCGGCUAACUCUGUG